AGACCCGAAACCCGGUGAUCUAGCCAUGGGCAGGUUGAAGGUUGGGUAACACUAACUGGAGGACCGAACCGACUAAUGUUGAAAAAUUAGCGGAUGACCUGUGGCUGGGGGUGAAAGGCCAAUCAAACCGGGAGAUAGCUGGUUCUCCCCGAAAGCUAUUUAGGUAGCGCCUCGUGAAUUCAUCUCCGGGGGUAGAGCACUGUUUCGGCUAGGGGGCCAUCCCGGCUUACCAACCCGAUGCAAACUGCGAAUACCGGAGAAUGUUAUCACGGGAGACACACGGCGGGUGCUAACGUCCGUCGUGAAGAGGGAAACAACCCAGACCGCCAGCUAAGGUCCCAAAGUCAUGGUUAAGUGGGAAACGAUGUGGGAAGGCCCAGACAGCCAGGAUGUUGGCUUAGAAGCAGCCAUCAUUUAAAGAAAGCGUAAUAGCUCACUGGUCGAGUCGGCCUGCGCGGAAGAUGUAACGGGGCUAAACCAUGCACCGAAGCUGCGGCAGCGACGCUGAUGCGUUGUUGGGUAGGGGAGCGUUCUGUAAGCCUGUGAAGGUGGCCUGUGAGGGUUGCUGGAGGUAUCAGAAGUGCGAAUGCUGACAUAAGUAACGAUAAAGCGGGUGAAAAGCCCGCUCGCCGGAAGACCAAGGGUUCCUGUCCAACGUUAAUCGGGGCAGGGUGAGUCGAC
rnacentral:rRNA from 1 species